UUAAAAAGCUCGUAUGCGAAUUUCAGGGCGGCGGGCACGGUCUGCCGAUGGGUAUGCACUGUGUCGGCCGCCUUUCCUGCUGGGGUCCGUGUCUGCACUUAACUGUGCGGGUACGGGGAACAGCGCGUUUACUUUGAGAAAAUCAGAGUGUUUAAAGCAGGCCAAGAUUGCUCUUGCAUGGAUUAGCAUGGGAUAAUGAAAUAGGACUUUGGUGCUAUUUUGUUGGUUUCGAGUACCGAAGUAAUGAUUAAUAGGGAUAGUCAGGGGCACUUGUAUUCCGUUGAGAGAGGUGAAAUUCUUAGACCAAUGGAAGACAAACUACUGCGAAAGCAUUUGCCAGGGAUGUUUUCACUGAUCAAGAACGAAAGUUAGGGGAUCGAAGACGAUCAGAUACCGUCGUAGUCUUAACCAUAAACCAUGCCGACUAGGGAUUGGAGGAUGUUACUUUUACGACUCCUUCAGCACCUCAUGAGAAAUCAAAGUCUUUGGGUUCCGGGGGGAGUAUGGUCGCAAGGCUGAAACUUACAGGAAUUGACGGAAGGGCACCACCAGGAGUGGAGCCUGCGGCUUAAUUUGACUCAACACGGGGCAAACUUACCAGGUCCAGACAUAGUAAGGAUUGACAGAUUGAGAGCUCUUUCUUGAUUCUAUGGGUGGUGGUGCAUGGCCGAUCUUAAUUGGUGGAGUGAUUUGUCUGGUUAAUUCCGUUAACGAACGAGACCUUAACCUGCUAAAUAGU
rnacentral:rRNA from 1 species